UAGUGAGUGAGCUCUCACGAGAUCUGAUGGUUUUAUAAGGCACUUUUUCUCCUUUUGCUCAGCACUUCUUCUUGCUACUGCCAUGUGAAGGACGCGUUCGCUUCCCCUUCCACCAUAAUUGCUGCCAGGCUUCAGACUGGAACUACACCAUGGGAUCUCCCAGGUCUCCAGCUUGUCCACUUGCCCUGCAGAUCUUGAGACUUUCCAGACUCCAUAGUCACCGCAAUUUAUGAGAGGAUGAUGUGGCAAAAUGAUUUGAAAAUUGGAAGUGAUUUACUGCACAACUUAAAUAUUUUGUCUUAUCAUUACAGCAACUCUAUAAGGCCACAGGACAGCCUCCCAACCCAGCUAAAGAAUCAAGGGCGGAAGGCCAAAAUCAUCUGAAAACAAAUAUGAUACUUCAAAAAUGUCUGAAAAGGACAGGUGUGCUUUUCAAGAAGGCUUUCCCUCAGUGGCUUUACCUUUUGUGUGCGGCCCGGAUGUAGCUGAUAAACCAAGGCUUUCUGACUUUGCAGCUUGAUAGAUAUAAUUUUCAUAGUAUAUGGAAAGAUAAUGCACCCAAUGUAUUGGACAGUUGUCCCUGUGUUAUCAAGCAGUGUGUUCUCUUAUUUCACUAACAAAUGUCCAGACAAACACACAUUGUGGCAAAUGCAAGGAAAUCACUAGCCUGUGUUUGAAACUUAAGCCUCCCCGUUCUUUAGAGUAUAGCAGUAUUCAGGCAAUAGGGAUGCAUGGUACGAGCAUUACCCUUUCUCUCUCUCCAGACUCCAGAACAUGACAAUAGCUGAUAUGUUUCAGUGCAUGAAUAAUUCUGAUUCCAGCUAGACAAUUGUUGUGAAGGAAUUGUCCUUAUAAUAUUUGUCUCAUAAAAAUAUGUAUAUUUUAUUAUAAAACAAGAAUGUUCAAAUGGACAUCCACAUUUUGGCCCCAAAUCCUCCCCUUUUGUGCAUCUUAUGCAAAGUACAUGUCAAUAAGUAUUUAUCAAAUGAAUGUUAAAAGCAUGAAAGAAUGUUUUAUGGGGAUUUUGAUGUCUUUCUAGUGAGAUACUGUUUUUCAUUUAAUCAUAACUCAUUUUUUUUGAGAUGAGAAAAUUUAGACUCAAAGUCAUGAUAAGCCACCAACAUCAUAAAGAGCAGACUCAGGAACUGAACUGUAUUCUCUGCCUGUCCCUUCAUGCAAUUUCUUUCUCCUUUCUACAGAAAAAUCCCCCCUUCCUGCUAUUUCCACCCCUGAAAUAUUUAUAGGCUGAUGUCCUCUUUAGUCAUCACUGAGCUAAGCUGCAAUCUUUUAAUCAUUUCUCAGAAGUCAUUUUCUCUAUCGGCUUAAUCAUUUCAUUUACUUCUGACUCCACCCAAAGUGCUUACGUCCCUUAAACAUGAGGUUCCAGAACUGAAACAUAGUCCUUCAAGGAACCAGAGAGAAGCCAGGCAACAUCAAUCAAGCCCCUUGAUGAUGGAACGUGUCCUCACAUGUGACUCAAUAGACGUUUUGCUGUGGGACUCUAAUUCUGUCUUGCCUUAUAGGCAAGAUGCAAUCUUUAUCAGAGCUCCAGGGGUAAUGCUGUGUCACACAAAAAUGUGCACUGCUUUUGAUAUCAGGCACACCUGGGUUCAAAUCUUGGCUUCCCGAUUUACUACUUACGUAACCUAAGGCAAGUUAUUAAGCGUCUCUAAAUCUUGGUUUCUUUGUCAGAGACAAGUUGGGAGGAAUACUAGCUACAUCAUAGGAGUCUUGUGAGAACUAAAUCACUUAAUAUAUGUAAAUGGCCUGUAUAUACUAUACCUAGCACACAUUACAUACAGCACAUUUACUAACCUCUAAAUCUAGUGUUAAAUCAAUUUCUUUCUCUCUCACCGCACUCCAUUCAAUUUACCAGGAAUUCUGUCCACCUUUCUUUCAGUUUUUCUGAACGUAUCCAUUUCUUCCCAUUGAUAUGAGUCACAAAUAGAUCAGCUGCCACCUGAUCAGACCCACCAUCAUUUCUAACCAGACCAUUGCCAUAGCCUCCUGACUCAUUCCCCUGCUUUCAUCCUUGCCUUUUAUAAUCCUUUCUCUACACUGUAGCGAUGUCAUCUUUCUAAAAGAUUACUUGGACCAGUCCACUUGCCUGCAUAAAACAUGGCAUAGGGUUCCCACUACACUUAAAAACAAAUCCAAAAUUCUUGCCAUGGACUACAGGACCUCAAGUGAUCUUUCCCUGCUUGUAUCUCUGAAGUUAUCCUUCUCCCCUCUUCUAUCACUUACUCUACUUUUAGCCAUAUAUGGCUUUUGGUUUCUUGAGCUCACUAAGCUUAUUCUGGUGCCAGAAACUUUGCCCUUUCCAUUCCCUGAGACUUAGAUGUUCUUCCCCAAGAUCUUUACAUGAUUGGUUCCUUCUCACCAUUUCAGUCUAAGACCAGAGGUCACCUCCUCCAAGAGGUCUCCCUUGGUCACCAAAUCUCACGUUGUCUCUCCCUGAUAACCUAACACUGACACUUUCUAGCACAUUACUUUGUCUUACUUUCUUUAUAUCACUUUAUCACUAUCUGAAAUUACCAUCUUUAUUUAUUUGUUUGUUUAUUUCCAGAAUGUUUUUCUCUCUCAACAGAAUGCCAGCCCUAUGAAAGAAGGAACCUUGUCUACUUUGCAUCUCUCAAUAUUGUUACCUCCUAAAAUUGUGCCUGGCAUGAAGUAGACACUCAAUAAAUAUUUGACAAAUGGAUAAAUUGGUUUGGAAGAACUGGGCUCUAUCAUACUUUUCAUAAGUAUGAAAAGCAUUUGACAAGAUAAUGAAAUCUUAAGGUAUUCUCACAUAAAUUUAAUAUCUCAGCCCUAAAUUUUGCAUAGCCAGGAAAUUCUGUAGCAUUAUAAAAUGGUUCAGAACACAGAGCAUGUUUUAAUCCUAGCUUUGCCACUUCCUUUCUGUGUGACCUUGGAUAAGUCAGCUGACGUAUUAAAACUGGUUUUCUUGUCUAAAAAUAUAAAGAUAAUAACAUACAAUAUUAGAGGGUUUUGUGAGGAUUAAAAGAGCUAAGUCUAUAGCACAGUUCCUGGAACAUUGUGUGCAGUCAAUAAAUGGUGGUUAUUAUUAUUACGGUUAUUGUUCUUACAGUAAUUAAUUCUGGCACCAUAUUUUACAAAGAACUUUGACAAAUUGGAGCCCAUCCAGAGGAGAACAAACAAUCUUGUGAAGGGUCUGGAAACCACAACUUGUAAGGAAUGAUGGAAAGAGCUGAGGAUGUUUACCUUGGAAGAGACACAUUUUAAGAGGAACAUGAUAGCUUUUUUAAAAACACUGAAAAGAACUGUCUGGUGGAAGACAGAUUUGAUUUAUUCAAUGUUACUCUGGAGUAUACAUUUAAAGCCAAAGAGUAAAAGUUAAAUCUUAAAUUCUUUAUGAUCUAAUAACCAAACUUUCCCAAACCAAAAUAGUAUUGAAUUCUACUUAUAAUAGUAAAAACUUUUAAGUCAUGUUUGCAUAAAUUUUUAUUAGGGAAAUUAUAUCGUAUAUGAAGCCACUUGCAAUUACCACUGUAUUCGUCCAUUUUCACACUGCUAAUACAGACAUACCCAAGCCUGGGCAAUUUACAAAGGAAAGAGGUUUAAUGGAGAACUCACAGUUCCACGUGGCUGAGAAAGCCUCACAAUCAUGGCAGAAGGUGAAAGGCAUGUCUCACAUGAUGGCAAGCAAGAGAAGAAGGCUUCUGCAGAAAAACUCCCCUUUUUAAAACCAUCAGAUCUCAUGAGACUUAUUCACUAUCACAAGAAUAGCACAGGAAAGACCUGCUCCCAGGAUUCAAUUACCCCCUACUGGGUUCCUCCCACAAGAUGAGAUUUGGGGUGGGGACAAAGCCAAACCAUAUCAACCAUAUUAAGACUUUGUAUCAAUAUGAAAAGUAUGUGUGGGAUGUCAAUUGCAAAAAAGCAGACUAUGAAAUAUGUGCAUAAGCAGACUAUGAAAUAUAGGCACUCUAUAGAGAGAAACAGAAACAAAGAGAGAGAGAAUAUAAACACAAACACAUGCAAAUAAAAUGUGUUACUUCAAGAGGUGAUGAGUUUCCUGUCCCUCCAAAGGUUAAAGCAGAGACCAGACAACCUCUUAGAAGAAACAGCAUGUGAGAAGUGAUAUUACAGACAAAGCAUUGGGCAGGGUGAACACUGAAACGAUUUCAAAGCUCCUUGGGUCUAUGAUCUGAUGAAUAUUGUUGAAUUGUGGGCACAAAACUGUGCUUUUUAAAAUAGUAAAGAUGACAUUAAGCCUCUCAAAUAUUUUCAUUUCCUCCCAAUUAAAACAGGCAAAAAAAAUCUAGUACCAAGAGACCCAAGUUCUGGGCUCCAUGAUCUACUAGGGCAUUGUGGCAUCAAGACCCACAAAGUGGACAUUUCUGGCCAUUAUUUCUCUUCUGCUCCAGCAAAAGCCUGUCAACCUCUCUGAACCUCAUUUUCUGGAUCCUUUCCCAAAAAGAAGGAAGUUGCAUGCUUUCUAUUUCUAAGAAUCUAUGCUUCAUCUUGAUUAUUUUCUUUCAUAAAUCUGAGCUUGGCCAGAAAUUAGAAGCCACCUGAACUUUGUAAAUAAGGAAUUUCCAAGAACACUAACAAGGGAAUAACUGUAGGAGAAUUUUGGUCCCCAAAUCAGGGAUGGUCCUUUUUCCACAUAAGUUUCAAAAAGUAAUAAAUAAUUCCUAUUAUAAUUAAAUGGGUGAAAAGUUUAGAACUCUAAGAGACAAGCAUCCAAAAGUAGGGUUUUCCUAGAAAGUCUCUUUAUAUUUUAUGUAAGAUGACAUUAAGUCAUCACCUGCAUUGCUUUCUUGGCUUUUGAUGAUAAAGGAGCUCUCCUCUGUUGUUGUUAAACUUCCAGGCAAGUUUUCGGGCUAUCUUCAUCCUAGAAGGGCCAAUAGACAGAAGAUUGCCAUUUUCAAGCAUUGAACACACAAUUGGAUCCUUCCUUGACGUCAACUUACCUCCCAUUUUAUAUCUCGGAUGAUUUCCAGUGGUGACAAAAACAUGUAUAUUUCCUUUCCCACUUAGGGAACUAUGAGGUGUGCUUUGACUAGCCAAUAGAGAUAUUACAAAAUAGCAAACCCAUAAAACUUCUAGAGACUUCACGAAUCCUGUAAGAACAGCCUCAUUCUCUUCGAAUCCUUGGUUAUAAUUCACAUAGAUUAUCUUGUGGGAAUAGAACAAAGUAAGCCUUGCUGUGCCAUGCUCUUCUUGUGAAGAGUUCUCUGACUCCUAUAUUUCAGAUGAAGGAAUCAUUGUAACAUGACAAUGGUCAGGGAGUGCCCUGCUCCCAUGCCCAGAAUUGACCUACCAUCCUCAAACCAAUAAGCUCAAGCCCAGAUGAUUACCACCUACAUGGAAGGUAACUUUUUUUUCAGAAAAUAGAAAUUUGUUAAUAUUUUUAUAAUUGAGAUGAAAUUCACAUAACAAAAAUCAACCAUUAUAAACUGAACAAUUCAGACCGAUUUAUUACAUUCACGUGUUGUAUAAUCAUGACCUCUAUAUAGUUGCAAAACAUCUUCGUUACCUCGAAAUACAACCCUGGACCCAUUGUGCAGUUCCUCCAUUCUCCCCUCUCUCCAGUCCCUGGCAAAUGUUUGUUUUCAGUCUCUAUAGAUGUACCUAUUCUGGAUAUUUUAUAUAAAUAAAAUCAUGUAACAU
rnacentral:lncRNA from 10 species